rnacentral:rRNA from 1 species
AGCUUGCUGGGUGGAUUAGUGGCGAACGGGUGAGUAACACGUGAGUAACCUGCCCUUGACUCUGGGAUAAGCCCGGGAAACUGGGUCUAAUACCGGAUAGGAACGUCCACCGCAUGGUGGUUGUUGGAAAGAUUUAUCGGUCAUGGAUGGACUCGCGGCCUAUCAGCUUGUUGGUGAGGUAAUGGCUCACCAAGGCGACGACGGGUAGCCGGCCUGAGAGGGUGACCGGCCACACUGGGACUGAGACACGGCCCAGACUCCUACGGGAGGCAGCAGUGGGGAAUAUUGCACAAUGGGCGAAAGCCUGAUGCAGCGACGCCGCGUGAGGGAUGACGGCCUUCGGGUUGUAAACCUCUUUCAGUAGGGAAGAAGCGAAAGUGACGGUACCUGCAGAAGAAGCACCGGCUAACUACGUGCCAGCAGCCGCGGUAAUACGUAGGGUGCGAGCGUUAUCCGGAAUUAUUGGGCGUAAAGAGCUCGUAGGCGGUUUGUCGCGUCUGUCGUGAAAGUCCGGGGCUUAACCCCGGAUCUGCGGUGGGUACGGGCAGACUAGAGUGCAGUAGGGGAGACUGGAAUUCCUGGUGUAGCGGUGGAAUGCGCAAAUAUCAGGAGGAACACCGAUGGCGAAAGCAGGUCUCUGGGCUGUAACUGACGCUGAGGAGCGAAAGCAUGGGGAGCGAACAGGAUUACAUACCCUGGUAGUCCAUGCCGUAAACGUUGGGCACUAAGUGUGGGGACCAUUCCACGGUUUCCUCGCCGCAGCUAACGCAGUAAGUGCCCCCCCCGGGGGAGUACGGCCGCACGGCUAGAACUCACAGGAAAUUGACGGGGGGCCCGCCCCAGACUUCGCAGCAUGACGGAUUAAUUUCUAUGCAACGCCGUAGAACCUUACCC